UCUCGCGUCAGGAUAUGCCUAGGUGGGAUUAGCUAGUUGGUGAGGUAAGGGCUCACCAAGGCGACGAUCCCUAGCUGGUCUGAGAGGAUGAUCAGCCACACUGGAACUGAGACACGGUCCAGACUCCUACGGGAGGCAGCAGUGGGGAAUAUUGCACAAUGGGCGCAAGCCUGAUGCAGCCAUGCCGCGUGUGUGAAGAAGGCCUUCGGGUUGUAAAGCACUUUCAGUCGUGAGGAAGGUAGUGUCGUUAAUAGCGGCAUUANUUGACGUUAGCGACAGAAGAAGCACCGGCUAACUCCGUGCCAGCAGCCGCGGUAAUACGGAGGGUGCGAGCGUUAAUCGGAAUUACUGGGCGUAAAGCGCAUGCAGGUGGUUUGUUAAGUCAGAUGUGAAAGCCCGGGGCUCAACCUCGGAAUAGCAUUUGAAACUGGCAGACUAGAGUACUGUAGAGGGGGGUAGAAUUUCA
rnacentral:rRNA from 1 species